UUUAAGUGCAACACUAUCUAACUUUGAUCAUCCGUUUUAUUUAAAAAAAUUAUAAUUAGUAUUUUUUAUUAUGAGAUGAUAAAACAUGAAUAUUACUUUAUGUGUGACUUACGUUUUUAAUUUUUUUUAAAAAAAUUUCAAAUAAGACGGAUGAUUAAAGUUUAGGGCUCCUUUGAUU
rnacentral:pre_miRNA from 1 species